AGCGAACGCUGGCGGCAGGCUUAACACAUGCAAGUCGAACGAGCCUUUCGGGGCUAGUGGCGGACGGGUGAGAACGCGUGGGAACGUGCCCUAAGGUACGGAACAACUGAGGGAAACUUCAGCUAAUACCGUAUGUGCCCGAGAGGGGAAAGAUUUAUCGCCUUAGGAGCGGCCCGCGUCUGAUUAGCUAGUUGGUGGGGUAAAGGCCCACCAAGGCUUCGAUCAGUAGCUGGUCUGAGAGGAUGGCCAGCCACAUUGGGACUGAGACACGGCCCAAACUCCUACGGGAGGCAGCAGUGGGGAAUCUUGCGCAAUGGGCGAAAGCCUGACGCAGCCAUGCCGCGUGGAUGAUGAAGGUCUUAGGAUUGUAAAAUCCUUUCAGCGGGGACGAUAAUGACGGUACCCGCAGAAGAAGCCCCGGCUAACUUCGUGCCAGCAGCCGCAGUAAUAC
rnacentral:rRNA from 1 species